UGUCCAGGGGCGGGAAUCGAACCCACAACGUUCCGCUUACCGGGCAGAUGCCAUGUCCAUUAUAAGCCGGACUAAAAUACCCUUGAC